AUUAUAAAUAACUUGUUAAAUAAAGUAAAAGUUGAAUCUAUAAGAAAAAUAAUUUGAAAGUUGAAAUUGUUAGUAAUUUUUAAUAAAUCCAGCUAGAGACGAUAGUUUAAAGUACUGUAAAGGAAAGGAAGAAAAUCUUGAAUAGUAAAUUUUAAAGUUUGUACCUUGUGUAUCAGGGAAAAUUUAUAUAAGUUAAUAAUAAUUAAUAAUCUCGAAAUAAAAUAUAGCUAAUUUUAUAAAAAUUUUUUUGUAGAAAAUAAAUUUUAAAUAUAAAAUUAAAGGUGAGACGCUAAUCGAGUUUUAUAAUAUCUAGUUUUUUAAAAAAAAAUUUAAUUUAAUUUUUAUAUUUUAUAAUAUAUAAAAUUUAAGUGUAGGAGGGAUUAGCUUCUUAUAAAUUAAAGUAGAAAAGAGUUUAGUAAAAAUUAAUUGAUUAAUUAAGCUUAAAAGUAGCUAUAUUAAUAAAGUGUUCUAACUAAAUCAAAACUAAAAUAAUAUUUAGAAAAACUUUUUAUGGUAUUAAAAAAUUAAUUUAAACUAAAAUAGUUAAGUUAUAAUGAUUUUAUUAGUAUAGAUUUACUGUAAAAAAAGAUAUUUAAAUAAUAAAAAUUAUUUAAAAUUAAAGGGACAGCAUAAAGGAACUCGGCAAAUAUAAUUUCUUUGCCUGUUUAUCAAAAACAUGUCUAUUUGGAGAUAUAAAAAGUUUAACCUGCCCACUGAUAAUUAAAUAUUAAAUGGCCGCGGUAUUUUGACCGUGCAAAGGUAGCAUAAUCGUUAGUUUUUUAAUUGGAAUCUUGUAUGAAUGGUUGGACAAAAGAAAAUCUGUCUUUAUACUGUUUAUUGAAUUUAACUUUUAAGUGAAAAGGCUUAAAUGAAUUAAAGGGACGAUAAGACCCUAUAAAGCUUAAUAUUAAAAUUUUAUUUAGUUGAAUUUUAUAUAAUAAAAACUUAGUGGAUUAUAUUUAUUUUAUUGGGGCGAUAGAAGUAAAAUGAUUAAUAACUGCUUAAUUUUUUAUACAUUAAUAAUUGAUUAACCAAUUUAAAUGAUCCUAAUUAAAGAUCAAAAGUUCAAGUUACUUUAGGGAUAACAGCGUUAUUUUUCUUAAGAGUACUUAUCGAAAGAAAAGUUUGCGACCUCGAUGUUGAAUUAAAAUGUCUU
rnacentral:rRNA from 1 species